CUCCCUAUCCUUCUAAGAGACCUGUCCCCACACCCAGCCCCAGUACCUGCUCCAUCCCAGAAUCACACUCCAGGACCUCUUAAUUCAUUCAACAUUUAUUGACAAUGAUCAUUUGUGAGGUACUCUGCAAGGGGCAGAGGAGUAAGAAUUGGUCCCUGCCCUCAAGGAACUCACAGUCUAGGGGGGGAUACAGACACACCAAUCCCAGUGCCUUAUUUAACAACAUUCUUGCAGUGGAAGAAUGAACACAGGGCUAGAGAAGCAGAGCAGGAAAGACAAUCUGUGCUUAGGAAAACUGCAGGUGGCCCCGCAUGCUAAAUCCUAUAGUGUAACUAGGAGUUUACUAGUUACCAGGCAGCCAGUGAGGGAAGUACCAAGGAGGCACGAUGUGUAGGGCACAUGGAGGUCUCAAAGUUUAAAUGGGCAUAACAUAUUCAAGAUGUGGCAAAAACUAGGUUCUAUCAUGGGGAACAAUGGGAGAUGAAGCUAAGGAGGUGGGCAGGGGCACGAUGGUGAAAGAGCUUGCAUGACAUGCAAGCGCCUUUCAUUUGUUUCCUGUAGGCGAGGAGCCAGGAAGGUCUUCAGAAAGAAAAUGCUGGCAGAAAUGGGGAGAAUUUUCAGGAAGAAACCAAAAGCUUAGGCAAGGAAUGAAGAGGGCCAAAAGCAGCGGAAUAAGGUGGAAAACAAAGGAUGGAUUUCAGAUGUAGAAGUGGCCACCAUGGGUGGGUGAUGGAAUCCAUGGGAGGGAGGAGGGGCAAGAUCAAAAACAACCUCAACAACAGGACAGAGGGCAGAGACUCUGCCAGACACUGCACUAGGUGUCUUAUAAACAUAAACACUAUGUCAAUGUCACCACUCUGUGAAGUAGGCAGAAUUAGCCCCAUUUUACAGAUGAUGUUCAGAAAAUUUAAAUAACUUCUCUAGUCACACAGCUAGAUUACAGAGUUAGGCUUCAAACCCAGGUCAACAUUUCAACCGUUAUAUUAUAUGGUAAAUCUAGACAGAGAUGGGUGGUAUGCUGUUUUGGAUAAUGAUCUAGAAUUUAGGGGGAAAUUCUGAACUAGAGAUAUACAUUUGAGAGUCAUCGCCACUGGGGUGGGUGAAGCCACAGAUGAGGCUAAGACUGUCCAGCAAGAAAACAGGCAAGAAUGAAGCUGGAAAAGCACUCACAUUAGAACAGGAGGGAGCAGGGGCAGGAGAGCUGGAAAAGGAAACUGAGAUGUGGUGAUGUCAAGGGAGAAUCCCAUGAAGAGAAUGUUGUGUACUGCAAAAAGCGAGAAUAUGACCAGUAUAUAAGAUCUGCAAUUACAAAGGCUUUGAACCAAAAUGCCUUGACCACUGUAUUGGUGGAGGCAGAGAGCAAGCAGUAAAGAGCAACAAAGGGCACAGGGAUGGGGUUGGGAGCCUCGAGGAGUUUGGAUUAAAAAAAGAUUACCUUGGCCGGGCACGGUGGCUCACACCUAUAAUCCCAGCACUUUGGGAGGCCAAGGCGGGCAGAUCACGAGGUCAGGAGAUCGAGACCAUCCUGGCUAACGUGGUGAAACCCCGUCUCUACUAAAAAAGUACAAAAAAUUAGCCAGGCAUGGUGGCGGACGCCUGUAGUCCCAGCUACUCGGGAGGCUGAGGCAGGAGAAUGGUGUGAACCCAGGAGGCGGAGCUUACAGUGAGCUGAGAUCCUGUCACUGCACUCCAGCCUGGGUGACAAAGCGAGACUCCGUCUCAAAAAAAAAAAAAAAAAAAAAAAAAAAAAAAAUUACCUUGAAGUGUUGCAGACUCUGUUGCAUCCACAACCCAUGAAGGAAGAGGGCCGGGCGAGAUGGUUAUGCAAAUUACUCCAGCUGCACUUAGCAGCUUAGGCUCAGAGAAGGAGAAACGGAAUUGCAGCAGGGGUUGGAAGUGAAGAAACUGGGCAGUGAGAGAGGGAAUAAGGGCCCUAAGGACUUUGGAUUCUUCUACAUGGAAAAGGUGCCCUUGCUGGGGCGCUAGUAAAGAUUUUUUUAAAUCUGAAUAAUUAGAAGGGCCCAUUAGGCAUUUUUUAACAAAAAACAAAGCCAGAGUUUACUUUUGUAUUAUGUAAAAAGGAUCUGAUUAACACAUAAUUGAUGUUAACAAGUUUAAUUCAAAAAGAAUAAACUGUUUUUUAAGUACCAGAGGCACUGCUGGAACAGGAUGAAAACUGAUACACCGGUUACUAAUUACUCUUCACUCUUCAAACUGAUUCCCCUAAAGACUUCUACUUAGCAAAUACUAUAAAAUACGCUCUGUACAGGAAAGAAAUAAUAGCACAUGUAUUUGUAUUUUAUUAUUCAGACUGGCUGCCAUCCCAACUAGAUAAAGGAGGUUUUACUGGGCUGUAAUAUCUAGCACUUGCAUGUUUUCAGAGCACUCUAAACUGGUUGUCUCACUCUUUUCACACGAUCAGCAGGGAACACGUUCCCCAUUUUGCAGGGAAACCAAGGCCAGUAGAGGUGAAGCGGCAUACCCCAGGUCAUCACUCAGAUCGCUUGCCUCCAAGUCCAAGGCUCUUUCCCCUCCCAAUUCUCCUGAUCUGUGACCUCCUGGGCAUUCUGGCCAAUCUGCUUCCCUCUGACUUUGCAGACUGCACUGAUGGAACUACCACUAAGGCAGGUGUGGAGCCUGCAAUCUCCUGACCAGCUUGUGCUUCUUGGUUCUUAUGCAAGCCAGUUCUCUCUGUGAAAUAUUUCUAAGCAGCCCUCAACCACCAGGUCUAUGAGGGUCCCUGUUGUCCCUCAGCCAAGGCUGCUCUCUCCCCUAGAUCCCCACCUCACCAGGGUCACAAGGAUACACACAACUAUUGCAGGAAACAUAGGUUCUUCCUGCAAUACAAUUAAAGCUGCUAACAUUUACUGAGUACCUACUGGUUGUUGUGAGGAUAUUGAGGUUCAGAAGGGCUAAGUGACUUGCCCAAGGUCAUCCAGUUAAUUGUUAAGGCAGUAUUCAUAACUCGAGCCUGUCAGACUCUAGAAUCCACUUUAUUUUUCCUCUGCUACACUGCCCUGGCUCCCUACCCUACAAGUGCUUAGAGAUCUAAAGCAAAGUAGAAAAGGAAAAGUGAGCAAGACGGAGGGGCUUUUACAUUUUCACUGCCUGGCUCCCAACCCAGACUCUGGCAAGGCUAAUUCCAUGAUGUUUCACUCAGCGGCAGUCCCACCAGCCUGGAGCCCUGGGGAGCUGACCAGAGUCAAAAGGCUCCCUGGCAGGCUUGUUCUGGCAGCUGCCCAGCCGACUUGUGCUAACACAGCAACAGGCACAGGAAAGAGUCUAGAAAGAGUGGAAAAGCACCAGACACUGAACCGCUGCAGGGAGAGAAGUGAUUCCUGCCGUGCUCGGAGAGGACCCUAUACUAAAGCCACCACCAUCAUUGGGCUGGGAAGAGACGGGGGUAAGCGGGGAGCAAAAAGCCCCAAGCACAUCCACUCACUCAUGUGUUUCAGUGAACUGUGACUGGAAGGCCAGUCAAAAAGAGGGUCACAUGCCUCCAAGGUGAAUCAGCAAGCAUGGAAGAAAACCGGUCUGCACCUUGGUUCAUCCCAGCAACCCUGACCUGUCUAUACCCACGUCCACAUAAACCUUGCUAUCUAAUGUCACCCGAGCAGAGGCAAGAGCACAUAUACUAUCUUACAGCCACCGCAACGGCUGAUUUCAGCCAGCCUGUGGGAAAGAAAGAUCUAGCUGAGAACACUAAUAGACUUGCUAGAGGAAGAAUUCAGUGACAAAGUGCCCUUGGAAAGGAAAGAAAAGAAUUUAAAAGGGGGCACAAUCAAAGUGAGACUGGAAGAAGGGAGCCACCUGGAUUCCCAAAGAUAGGGCUCUCUCGACCAGACACCAAGUGGAGGCCAACGGGUGGUGACAGGGAUAUUUUAAAAGAUCUGAAAAUCCAAAAAUGUCCAUGGGAAAUGUGUUUGCUAUUAUUUCUGUAGGCUUUCCAUCCUCACAUUUUUCUUAGGUUAUUAAGCUGCCUUUGUACAGGAUGCCCAAAAGUGUUUUGAGGGAAACCAAUUCUGGGAUCUAAUAUUUGUAACAAGUUGUUAGAUCGCCAAAAAAAAAAAAAAAAAAAAAACCAUAAUUAUAGGUGUCAUCAGAAGGAGGAGGCAGUUUGAGAGGUCACAAAUUGGCAGCCACUGGGUCAAAUUAACCCCACGGGUAUGAUAGCAUGCUUAGAAUUUUGUAUAAUGAAUUAUCAACACUUGAAAAUCAGAAGGUUACACACACCAAAAAACCCUGAAUUUCUAGCAUCUCUUCAUUUUUUUUUUUUUACCCCCUCUGGAGCUCUUAGAACAUCUUUUAGAAAAAUUCAAAAAUCUGGUACCACUGGAUGAGCAGCAGAUUGGAAGGUGAGUCACCACUGCCCCCUUUCGGCAGGUCUAUACUUUCUGCCAGCGUGGUGGCUCAUUUGUCACCUGACCUCUGUCAGCACUAGUGUUUGGUUUAGCCCAGGGAAGUGACUGCAGGCUUGGUAAUGCCCAGGACUGCCAUAGGGUGGCAGCACUGGUGUGCCGAUAAGGCCUGCUCAUCAGCCAGAACCUGCAGCCAGAACCAGAAAUCUCCUUACUUGGUAGCUGACAGUCUCUUCCCAAGUUCCAUCCGAUUUGUUCCCUGGGAAGCAACAGCAGCUCAUUUCCGCAUUCCCACUAGGCCUCAGGGAGCCUUAGAAGAAGCCAACGACUCAACCUGCUCCCUCCUCUCAGGCCACCACCAGGUCCUGGAAGGCACCUCCAGCUGGCACCUCUUCAC
rnacentral:lncRNA from 1 species